rnacentral:rRNA from 1 species
CCUACGUGGGGCAGCAGUGAGGAAUAUUGGUCAAUGGACGAAAGUCUGAACCAGCCAAGUAGCGUGCAGGAUGACGGCCCUCCGGGUUGUAAACUGCUUUUAGUUGGGAAUAAAAGAAGGGACGUGUCCCUUAUUGUAUGUACCUUCAGAAAAAGGACCGGCUAAUUCCGUGCCAGCAGCCGCGGUAAUACGGAAGGCCCAGGCGUUAUCCGGAUUUAUUGGGUUUAAAGGGAGCGUAGGCGGAUUGUUAAGUCAGCGGUUCAAGGGUGUGGCUCAACCAUACAUUUCCGUUGAAACUGGCGAUCUUGAGUGCAGACAGGGAUGCCGGAAUUCGUGGGGUAGCGGGGAAAUGCUUAGAUAUCACGAAGAACUCCGAGCGCGAAGGCAGGUGUCCGGGCUGCAACUGACGCUGAGGCUCGAAAGUGUGGGUAUCAAACAGGAUUAGAUACCCCUGUAGUC